rnacentral:rRNA from 1 species
CCUACGGGCGGCAGCAGUAGGGAAUUUUGCGCAAUGGGCGAAAGCCUGACGCAGCAACGCCGCGUGAUCGAGACGCCCUUCGGGGUGUAAAGAUCUGUCAGUGGGGACGAAACUUGACGGUACCCACAGAGGAAGCACCGGCUAACUCCGUGCCAGCAGCCGCGGUAAUACGUAGGAUCCGAGCAUUAUCCGGAGUGACUGGGUGUAAAGAGUUGCGUAGGUGGCAUAAUAAGUAGCUAGUGAAAUCUGGUGGCUCAACCAUUCAGACUAUUAGCUAAACUGUUAAGCUCGAGACCGUUAGGGGUAACUGGAAUUUCUAGUGUAGGAGUGAAAUCCGUAGAUAUUAGAAGGAACACCAAUAGCGUAGGCAGGUUACUGGGACGGUUCUGACACUAAGGCACGAAAGCGUAGGGAGCAAACGGGAUUAGAUACCCGAGUAGUC